GAGGUUUGACGAGCAGCGAGACGAGCCUAUCAGAGCCCGGUCCAUCAUGGCGGCGCCCAGCGAGUAGAGACCCGGCGAUGUCAGGCCAGGGGGUCUGGCUGCGAGCCCGGGAGCGGCUGCGGCGCUUCCCCGAGCUGCUGGCGGGAUGUCGGGACCAGGCAGCGGCCUACGGAAAGUGUGUAGCUGCGACGACCACAGGCCGUGCCGAGCUGCGGAAGGACGUGUGCAUGAAGGAGUUUGAGGCCCUGAAGGCGUGCUUCACCCAGGCAGCAAAGAAGACAAUGAAGUGAAUGCAUUAGUAACAAUACAGGGGACUGGAAUCUAGAUUUACAGUCCUGGCUGGUGUCUGUCCAGCUGUAAUCAGGUAGUUCCAGGACAGAAGAAUUUG